GCAUGUUGUUGUUAUACUCUUGGCUUUGUUUGUGUAUCAUGCUUUUCUUAGUUGUAAGGUUAGCUUAGCAGGUUAUACAUUGUUUUGCCUCUUUGUCUACCGGCCCCUUUGAGCCACAUUUCCUUUCCAAACAUAGUAUUUACUCUAGGGUUUUGUAUAAGCAAGAGGAAGAGAAAGAAAUUACGGUAGAGAGAGGCAGGAAAGAGACACGGCGGCGGCGUUUAGGGUUCCGCCGCAAACACAACGACGGUGGCGACUGUCACGGUGACCUAGGGUUCUGACUUCGAUAGUAGGCGACGGUUUGUGAACUCUGGUGUUGAUGAAGAUGUCUUAGAAAGGUGGAUCGGUGUUAUGCAGUCAAACUCAGGGCAGAUUGGCGAUGGUAACGGGUGAUCCUCAGUCUUCCGGCGCAUUAGGCUAUAUUGCACCUUUUUUUUGCUCAGAAGAAUGCAAGAGGAUGUUGAGCUUUCUCUUCCUUGUAAUGGUUAUAUUAUUUAACCAUUAAUGGGUUAUUAAAUUGGGAUAUUACAUGAUAAAUAAUCUGUAGUAUAUAUUAAUUUGUAAGAUUAGUGUGCAUUAUGGUAUUGUACAUGAUGCUUAAGGGUUGUUUUGUGCUAAGUGUUGUUGUACACAAUGCUUGGUUGGUGACUGGUGUAAUCUUCAUAGUGCCACAUUUAUGCUCUAAUCUUCAUAUUAUGGUGGUGUUGUACGUAUACAACGUACCAAACCUGAAUAAUAUGUGUACAAUAGAGUAGGAGUGACAUUUGUCGUCCACCAAAAUAAAAAGCCACACCCAUCCCCAUUAUCAAUGUUCAUGCUUUCUCUCUCUUUGUCUAGAAUAUGCGAUACAGAGAGACGAGAGACGUUUGAGAGUAGGGGAGACGGUGGCACAACACUGAUAGGCCAUGAUAACGACAGAGAUGGUGUUACCCAGCGGCGAUGUUGGCGAUUUUCCAGCGACCAAGAUUCGAUGGGCUACGAACGGUGAGAUUUUUAGGCUUCCAACAACUUUCGACAACAUUGGGGCUUUUCCGAUGAUCUUUCGGUAAUUAAAGAUUAGAUCGCUGCUGCACCAUUUUCUGAGGAAAAACGAACCUGAUGCGUCAGAUUGAUCUAAAAGGGUGCUGAGAAAAAGAAUGCCGUUUUAGGAAUCAUUGGGAUUGGGUUAUGUGAACAUCAGUAUGGGGGAUGUUUGUGCACAACAGGAAAAUCAAUGAGACGUACUGUCUGGUUGAUUCGAGGAAUGGGAAAAUCCAGUUUGAGUUGCAUUGGAUGGCUGUAUCUUGAUGUACAUGUUAUGUCUUAAUUUGUAAGCCCCGGCCGCAUCGCGGCGGGAGCCUCCAUCUAGUUUUAGUUUAAUAUCUAAUAUUAUAGAUAACCCUUCUACUAAAUAUUAUUAGUUUAAUA